rnacentral:rRNA from 1 species
AGGGCGGGACACGUGAUAUCCUGUCUGAAUAUGGGGGGACCAUCCUCCAAGGCUAAAUACUACUGACUGACCGAUAGUGAACCAGUACCGUGAGGGAAAGGCGAAAAGAACCCCUGUGAGGGGAGUGAAAUAGAACCUGAAACCGUGUACGUACAAGCAGUAGGAGCAGGCUUUGUCCUGUGACUGCGUACCUUUUGUAUAAUGGGUCAGCGACUUAUAUUCAGUGGCAAGGUUAACCAUCUAGGGGAGCCGUAGGGAAACCGAGUCUUAACUGGGCGUUCAGUCUCUGGAUAUAGACCCGAAACCAGGUGAUCUAGCCAUGGGCAGGUUGAAGGUUGAGUAACAUCAACUGGAGGACCGAACCGACUAAUGUUGAAAAAUUAGCGGAUGACUUGUGGCUAGGGGUGAAAGGCCAAUCAAACCUGGAGAUAGCUGGUUCUCCCCGAAAGCUAUUUAGGUAGCGCCUCGGACGAAUACUACUGGGGGUAGAGCACUGUUAAGGCUAGGGGGUCAUCCCGACUUACCAACCCUUUGCAAACUCCGAAUACCAGUAAGUACUAUCCGGGAGACACACGGCGGGUGCUAACGUCCGUCGUGGAGAGGGAAACAACCCAGACCGCCAGCUAAGGUCCCAAAUUACUACUAAGUGGGAAACGAUGUGGGAAGGCUCAGACAGCCAGGAUGUUGGCUUAGAAGCAGCCAUCAUUUAAAGAAAGCGUAAUAGCUCACUGGUCGAGUCGGCCUGCGCGGAAGAUGUAACGGGGCUAAGUAGUAAACCGAAGCUGCGGCAAUGUGCUUUUGCACAUUGGGUAGGGGAGCGUUCUGUAAGCGGUUGAAGGUGUGUGGUAACGCAUGCUGGACGUAUCAGAAGUGCGAAUGCUGACAUGAGUAACGAUAAAGGGGGUGAAAAACCUCCUCGCCGGAAGACCAAGGGUUCCUGUCCAACGUUAAUCGGGGCAGGGUAAGUCGACCCCUAAGGCGAGGCCGAAAGGCGUAGUCGAUGGGAAACGGGUUAAUAUUCCCGUACUUCUUACAAUUGCGAUGGGGGGACGGAGAAGGCUAGGUGGGCCUGGCGACGGUUGUCCAGGUUCAAGUGCGUAGGCUUAAGA